UUGAACGCUGGCGGCAUGGCUAAAACAUGCAAGUCGAACGCGAAAGGGGGCAAACCCCGAGUAGAGUGGGCGCAAGGGCGAGUAAUGCGUUUCUAACGUACCCCGAGCUCACGGAUAGCUCGCCGAAAGGCGGAUUAAUACGUGAUGACACCGCGAGGCGUAUGGCUUUGCGUUCAAAGGCUUGCCGGCUCGGGAGCGGGGAACGUCCUAUCAGGUAGUUGGUGAGGGUAACGGCUCACCAAGCCUAAGACGGGUAGCGGGUGUGAGAGCACGGCCCGCCGCAUCGGGACUGAGACACUGCCCGGACUCCUACGGGAGGCUGCAGUAACGAAUAUUCCGCAAUGCGCGAAAGCGUGACGGAGCGAUGCCGCGUGGAGGACGAAGCCCCUCGGGGUGUAAACUCCUGUCAGGGUUUAGCAACACAAUGAGCAGACCCAGAGGAAGAGACGGCUAACUCUGUGCCAGCAGCCGCGGUAAUACAGAGGUCUCGAGCGUUAAUCGGAAUCACUGGGCUUAAAGGGGUGCGUAGGCCCGACUCGCAAGAGCUUUGUGAAAUCCCACGGCUCAACCGUGGAACGGCUUGGCAGACUGCGGGUCUCGGGGUUGGUAGGGGCCGCCGGAACUCUAGGUGGAGCGGUGAAAUGCGUAGAUAUCUAGAGGAACGCCAAAGGUGAAGACAGGCGGCUGGGCCAAUUCUGACGCUGAGGCACGAAAGCGUGGGUAGCGAACGGGAUUAGAUACCCCGGUAGUCCACGCCCUAAACGAUGUGCACUAGAUCGCGGGGGCUCUGACGCCAUCGUGGUCGAAGAAAAAUUGAUAAGUGCACCGCCUGGGGAGUACGGUCGCAAGGCUAAAACUCAAAGGAAUUGACGGGGGCUCACACAAGCGGUGGAGCAUGUGGCUCAAUUCGAAGCAACGCGAAGAACCUUAUCCUGGGCUUGACAUUGCGCGGAUUAGUCCCGGGAAACCGGGAUAACACUCGCAAGAGUGGAACGCGCACAGGUGCGGCAUGGCUGUCGUCAGCUCGUGCUGUGAAGUGUCGGGUUAAGUCCCUAACGAGCGAAAACCCCUAUCUCCAGUUUGCUACUCCCGAUGCGUCGGGGAAAGGACUCUGGCGAGACGCCGGUGUCAAACCGGAGGAAGGUGGGGAUGACUGUCAAGUCCUCAUGGCCCUUAUGCCCAGGGCUGCACACGUGCUACAAUGGCGCGAACAAAGCGACGCAGAACCGCAAGGUGGAGCAAAUCGCAAAAAACGCGCCCCAGUUCAGAUCGCAGGCUGCAACUCGCCUGCGUGAAGCCGGAAUCGCUAGUAAUCGCGGGUCAGCAACACCGCGGUGAAUGUGUUCCUGAGCCUUGUACACAACCGCCCGUCAAGCCACGAAAGGGAGGGGCGUCCGAAGUCGGUCGGCCAACCGUAAGGAAGGCUACCGCCGAGACGAAACU
rnacentral:rRNA from 1 species